UGGGGAAUUUUGCACAAUGGGGGAAACCCUGAUGCAGCGACGCCGCGUGAUUUAGAAGGCCUUCGGGUUGUAAAAAUCUUUUCUAUGGGAAGAAAAUGACAGUACCAUAGGAAUAAGGACCGGCUAAUUACGUGCCAGCAGCCGCGGUAAUACGUAAGGUCCGAGCGUUGUCCGGAAUCAUUGGGCGUAAAGGGUACGUAGGCGGGUAAGUAAGUUAGAAGUGAAAUCCUAUAGCUCAACUAUAGUAAGCUUUUAAAACUGCUCAUCUUGAGGUAUGGAAGGGAAAGUGGAAUUCCUAGUGUAGCGGUGAAAUGCGCAGAUAUUAGGAGGAAUACCGGUGGCGAAGGCGACUUUCUGGCCAUAACCUGACGCUGAGGUACGAAAGCGUGGGUAGCAAACAGG
rnacentral:rRNA from 1 species